UACGUAGGGGGGCGAGCGUUGUCCGGAGUUACUGGGCGUAAAGGGCGCGCAGGCGGUCUGGCAAGUUUGGAGUGACAGUGCUCGGCUUAACUGAGCAAGGCCUUCGAAAACUGCUAGACUUGAGCACUCAAGAGGGACAUAGAAUUCCGGGUGGAGUGGUGAAAUGCGUAGAUAUCGGAAGGAACAUCAGUGGCGAAAGCGACCUUCCUGGACCAAUACUGACGCUCAUGUGCGAAAGCGUGGGGAGCAAACAGG
rnacentral:rRNA from 1 species